UCCCUCCGGAGUCCGGAGCCCCGAUCAAGCAAGGAGACCUCACUCUUCGAAUCCCACCGGAACAGUCAAGUGGCACUCACUCUUCUUUCCCACUGUCUCCUUCUUCCUUCCUUCCAUCUCCCCGGAAUUUCUAGGUUUCUUAGAUUUUCUCUACUAUCUCCUGUCUUCUCCUCCAUGGAGGCCUCUAACCUUAUACUAUCCAUCGAUGAAGGGCCUAAGAAGGGGGAAACCUUCGAUCGCAGGCCUGGGAGUUUCAUUCGCAUCGGCCGCGUUGUCCGCGGAAAUACACUUGCCAUUAAGGAUGCCCGAAUCUCUCAGAAGCAUCUCAUUGUUGAGUUCCACCCAGAGAUUUCUCGGUGGGCCGUCACCGACCUCGGCACGUCUAAUGGCACCACUGUCAACGGUGCGGUAAUAUCGCCCAACGCCGCCUUUACCCUCGCCAACGGCGAUAUCAUCGAGAUCGGUGAAAGCACUUUGAUGUCAGUUAAGAUCUACGCCCCAUCUUCAGUGCCAGAACCCCGAACGAGACGUGGGCGGCGGGCUGCGGCGGAUGUAAGUUCUCAGAUUGAAAAGGAAGCCAAGGAGGAGAAGGUGGUCGAGCCAGCGAAACAUGGGGAAAAGGGCGCGUCUCAAGGUAAGGCUUGUCCUGAAUCUGCUAAUGUUGACUACGCUGUGAAACGUAUGCCCGAGGAGGGCAAGAGAAGGAUGCCAAGAAAGGCUUCCGCAAAGUUUUGCUCUGCUAGGGUUCCCCAGUUGCUGGAAGAGAUUGAUGCUAAGGAAAAUGAGGAGAAACCUACCAAGAAUUAUCAAGUGGGACGUGCCCAGCGAAAGAAGGGUAUCAUAUCCGUUGGGGCUUCGAAAAGUGACAAGGCUUUGGAUCCGGUGGUGGAAGAGCAUAUUACCAGUUCUACCAGGAAAAUUGAGCUCUCUGCUAGAGCUUUGAAGGAGAAGAAUGAGGAGAGGGAGAUCAAGAAUGAGGAGGUUGAAGGGCCAACUAAGAAUGGCAGGAAAGGAAUGAGCCGCCUCAAAAGUGGGGUUGAACCUGCUAGGGUUUUGAGGAAAGAUGCAUCCUUGAGGCCUGUGGCUAUGGAAGAGAAGAAGGGGAGGGAUGUGAAGGUUUUAUCAGUGGCUAGCUCUGCUAGGGUCUUAAUUUUGAAGGAAGAAGAGGUGGAAACUUCUGAGAAGAUAGAAGGGUUAGUUGAGGACGGAAGGGGUGGGAGGGCGCGUCGAAAGAGAGGUUGUGGAUCUUCUAGAGUCUCUUCGAAAGAUGAUGUUUUGGAGCCAGCCGUGGUGGAGGGUAGGAAGGGAAGACUGACAAGGUUGUCAACUAUAGCUAUAAGCAGCACUGCGUUGGUUUCAAACGUGCACGAGGGAGAAGAUGCGGAGAUUAAGGAGGACAAGGUGGAGGAGCCAGCUAAUAAAGGAGGGAAGCAGAUGGCAAAAGGCAAGAGGGGUGGUCGUUCGAGCAGGAUUUCAAGGAAAUGUGAGGUAUUGGAGUCAUCGGCCAUCGGAGAAAAGGUAGAGGGGAGUUUGCGUAGGGCUUUGGAUGUGGUCGUGGUUAGCUCUGCAAGGGGCCCAAAGGAUCUGCAGAAGAAGAAAAUGAUGGCUUCAUUGGAUUUAAAUUCAGUUUAUUUGAAAGGGCAAGAAAAGAAGAAACCAUUAGUUAAGAACAAUGCUAGUGGUAAUAAAAAGAAGCUAGCUGGGAGCAGAGAAGUGAGGUUUAGGAUUGAAGAGGCGGAGAACGAUAAUGGUAUCAUGAUGUCUGGGGAGUACAAGACAGAGGACGUCCAUCUCCUUCCUAAAGAGGAAUUGGCUUAUUCGUGGAGUUCCUUCUCUGAGAUAAGAGGGAUUCCAAACACGACAAGCAAGUAUAGAGAGGAUAGGAUGAUAAAUUGUCAUGCCACUCCCUUUGAAGCGCGGGUUGAAAGAGCACUGAACAGAGGGAUUGCUGAAACUUCCUCUAGUUUGGAAACUUGAGUACAAGAUGCGAAGAAUAUUUUUCCAUUCAUCCAGAGCUUAACCUUUUCUAUUGACUCUAGAAUCGACUAUGCUUCAAUGGACUGUCAUUAACAGUUUUUGCAAAUUAGAAGCUGAUCAAACACUACACUUUCUGUUAGUGAAGGAACAGGGAAAUCUUGAUAAUCAUAUUAUGAAUGUCAGGAAGUGGAUUUUGAUUAAAAUAAUCAUGUUGGACUCUUCCUUUUUUUUGCUUCUAGAUUUGUUUUGGGGACUUGAAAUUGUGGCCAUUUGGUUAUGGCUUUUGUGGAUAAUCAGCAAGAGUACUUAGAUCAUCUGGUAAUGGUUUGAGAUGUCCUUCAUAUCUAGAUUUACUUUCUUGAACAUUCCUUUGUCUAAUUGAAAUGCACCCAUCAAUUU